GAUUUCUGGCUUGAUGUACCUGUCCCUCUUGGGUUAACCAGGCUGUGUGACGGAGUAUGUCUGCCAUCCUUCUAGAGAAUACAAGCUAUCCUUCACUGGACCGGUUUGUGUCAUCUAGAUCUUUUACUUUGAAAAAAUUAGAGUGUUUAAAGCAGGCUUGCGCUAUGAAUACAUUAGCAUGGAAUAAUAAUUUAGGACUUUGGUCUUAUUUUGUUGGUUUCUAGGACUAAAGUAAUGAUUGAUAGGGACAGUUGGGGGUGCUAGUAUUCAGCGGCCAGAGGUGAAAUUCUUGGAUUCGCUGAAGACUAACUUAUGCGAAAGCAUU
rnacentral:rRNA from 1 species